CCUACGGGUGGCAGCAGUGAGGAAUAUUGGUCAAUGGGCGCAAGCCUGAACCAGCCAAGUAGCGUGAGGGAUGAAGGCCCUACGGAUUGUAAACCUCUUUUAUAAGGGAAUAAAGUGAGGCACGUGUCCCUUUUUGUAUGUACCUUAUGAAUAAGGAUCGGCUAACUCCGUGCCAGCAGCCGCGGUAAUACGGAGGAUCCGAGCGUUAUCCGGAUUUAUUGGGUUUAAAGGGUGCGUAGAUGGGUUGUUAAGUCAGCUGUGAAAGUUUGUGGCUCAACCGUAGAAUUUCAAUUGAUACUGGCAGCCUUGAGUACAUUUGAGGCAGGCGGAAUUCGUGGUGUAGCGGUGAAAUGCUUAGAUAUCACGAAGAACCCCGAUUGCGAAGGCAGCUUACCAAGCCGUGACUGACACUGAUGCUCGAAAGUGUGGGUAUCAAACAGGAUUAGAUACCCUAGUAGUC
rnacentral:rRNA from 1 species